AUGGGGACUUCAAAUAAUGAGACUGAAUUCAUUCUUUUGGGCAUUACAAAAAAUCCAGAACUAAGGAAAAUAUUCUCUGCUUUGUUUCUAGCCAUGUAUGUGACCACAGUGUUGGGAAAUCUAUUCAUUGUGGUGACUCUGGCUGCAAGUUGGAGUCUGAGAUCACCUAUGUACUUUUCCCUUACUUCCUUGUCUCUCAUGGGUGCCACCUACUCUUCCAUCACUGCCCCUAAGAUGACUGUGGACUCUUUGAGAACACUACCAUUUCCCUUGAAGGCUGCAUGACCCAGCUCUUUGCAGAGCAUUUCUCUGAUGGUGUAGCGAUCAUCCUUCUCACUGUGAUGGUCUGUGACUGCUAUGAGGCCAUCAGUAAGCCCCUGCAUGACACAACCAUCAUGAGUCCACGGGUGUGCUGCUGUUGGUGGUAGAAGCUUGGGUGGGGGGAUUAACACAUGCCACAAUACAGCUUUUUUUUUUUCAUAUAUCAAAUACCCUUCUGUGGUCCCAAUAUUAUUGACCAUUUUAUAUGUGAUUUGUUUCCAUUGUUAAAACUUGCUUACAUGGACACCCACAUGCUGGGUCUCUUAGUCAUCCUCAACAGUGGGGUGAUGUGUAUGGCCAUCUUCCUUAUCCUAAUUGCAUCCUACAUUGUCACCCUGUACUCUCUGAAGUCUUGCAGCUCGGUAGGUUGACGCAACACACUUUCCACCUGUGGCUCCCACCACACAGUGGUCAUCUUGUUCUUCGUGGAGUGUAUUUUCUUGUACAUAAGACCUGUGGUCACUUACCCCAUAGACAAGGAUAUGGCUAUUUCCUUUACUAUUGUUGCACCCAUGUUAAAUCCUCUGAUCUAUACCCUGAGGGGCAUCAAGGUAAAAAAUGCCAUAAGAAAAAUGUGGAUGAAACAGGGGACCCUAGGUGGU
rnacentral:lncRNA from 1 species